AAGGUGGCUUAUGCCACUGCUAUGGAUUGGUUCAUAGCCGUGUGUUAUGCGUUU
rnacentral:ncRNA from 1 species